rnacentral:rRNA from 1 species
ACAUGCAAGUCGAACGAGGACCGUCGGGUCUAGUGGCGCACGGGUGCGUAACGCGUGGGAAUCUGCCCUUGGGUUCGGAAUAACUUCGGGAAACUGAAGCUAAUACCGGAUGAUGACGUAAGUCCAAAGAUUUAUCGCCCAAGGAUGAGCCCGCGUAGGAUUAGCUAGUUGGUGAGGUAAAGGCUCACCAAGGCGACGAUCCUUAGCUGGUCUGAGAGGAUGAUCAGCCACACUGGGACUGAGACACGGCCCAGACUCCUACGGGAGGCAGCAGUGGGGAAUAUUGGACAAUGGGCGAAAGCCUGAUCCAGCAAUGCCGCGUGAGUGAUGAAGGCCUUAGGGUUGUAAAGCUCUUUUACCCGGGAUGAUAAUGACAGUACCGGGAGAAUAAGCUCCGGCUAACUCCGUG